GGGAAUGUGGCGCAAUGGUUGAGACGCAACAGAUUUAGAAUCUGUAAGAGGUAAACUCUUGUGUGGGUUCGACUCCCACCAUUCCCACCA
rnacentral:tRNA from 1 species